UUAGUACUCCCUCCAUCUGAAAAUACUUGUCGAAUAAAAAUGAAUGUAUCUUAAACUAAAAUAUGUCUAGAUACAACCAUCUCUCCGACAAGUAUUUUCGGAUGGAGGGAGUACCAA
rfam:Triticum aestivum genome assembly, contig: Triticum_aestivum_CS42_TGACv1_scaffold_146043_2BS